CCGUGGUCGAGUGGUUCCUUGUUUUGUCCCUGAUCAUGCUCGACUGAGUAGGUCGAGUGUGCUGUCUGAUUGAGUAGGUCGAGUGUGCUGUCUGAUUUGGCUCUGCUUCUCUCAAUCUGCUCACAAGUGGCUCCGAAGCACCUGAAAACAACUCAAAUAUGCAGUAUGCAUGCAAAACUAUCCUAAACAUGUAAAGUGAUGACAAAUGAUGAAGAAUGGUAUGAAACAAUGAUGAAAACAGGUAAAAUAUAGACAUAUCAACUCCCCCAAACUUAGUCUUUGCUUGCCCUCAAGCAAACAAUCAAGAACAAGCUGG
rnacentral:lncRNA from 1 species